UACGAAGGGUGGCAAACGUUGCUCGGAAUCAUUGGGCGUAAAGCGCACGUAGGCGGCCCGAUAAGUCGGAUGUGAAAUCCCUCGGCUCAACCGAGGACGUGCAUUCGAAACUGUCGGGCUCGAGUAUGGAAGAGGGUCGCGGAAUUCCCGGUGUAGAGGUGAAAUUCGUAGAUAUCGGGAGGAACACCAGUGGCGAAGGCGGCGACCUGGGCCAAUACUGACGCUGAGGUGCGAAAGCGUGGGGAGCAAACAGG
rnacentral:rRNA from 1 species